AAGUGAAUGAUAAAUUUUUGGGUUGUUCAUAUUUUCCAGCUAAUUAGUGAAGGAAAGUGGUAAAUAUAUAUAUAUGAUUGUAUAAGACAAUGUAUAUAUGGUUGUAUAAGACAAUGUUAAAUAUAUUGUUUUCAACACAUCCAUUUCCUGGCACAUGCCUUUCUACUUCCACAAGUUUUCAAAAAAAUCAAGUAUGUUCCUAUACGAUGAGAUGGAACCAGUAUCGGCGCACCUUCCAUUGAGGCGGUUGUUCGAACAUUUUUUGUUUUUUUUUUGUCUAUUUGUGGUUAAUCAGUAUUCGGAGACUCUCAAAUUUCACAGUUAAACUCUUUACAAAUUUCUCUAGGUGUGCCAUUUUCUUUAGUGUACAAAA
rnacentral:sRNA from 1 species